rfam:Nematostella vectensis strain CH2 x CH6 NEMVEscaffold_10933_Cont57062, whole genome shotgun sequence.
UUGAUUAGGUAUUCCAACCUAUAUCGAGUAAAUCUUUCGCCUUUUACUAAAGAUUUCCGUGGAGGAGAGCACUGAAAUGAGUAUAUCACUCAAUUUUUGAUUUGCCCUGCAUUUUUGCGGGGCU